GGUAGAAUGGCCGAGAGUGUAGGCGGCAGGCUGUAGACCUGCCCACAGAGGUUUAAAUCCUUUUUCUGUCA
rnacentral:tRNA from 1 species